UACUGGGAACUGAACCCCGGAGUUUAUGC
rnacentral:piRNA from 1 species